rnacentral:rRNA from 1 species
AUGUACUACGCCCGCGCGUUCAAGCGCCGCGCGAUGGCCAUCCAGCAGGCAUCACCAUCCCGGGCCGCUGGGCCACCACCCUGGCCGGACAUUCCCGCGCAGGAUCGGCCUGCUCAGGCUUCCGCGGCACCCCUCGCCGCGUCCGCGGCGCGCCCGUUCCGUCGGCUCACCUCGGCCGAGCUACUCGAGCGUCGCCGCCAAGGGUUGUGCUUCAACUGCGACGAGCCCUGCAUGCCCGGCCACGUCUGCCCGCGACUCUUCUACCUGGAGGCUGUGGACUACAUUGAGGAGGACGCCGCCGCCGCCGGGCUCGAUGACCUGCCCACCCCAGCUUACGCAGAGGUGUUUGACGUUGGUUGA